rnacentral:rRNA from 1 species
ACUGCUCAGUAACACGUAGUCAACAUGCUCAGGGGACGUGGAUAACCUCGGGAAACUGAGGAUAAACCGCGAUAGGCCAAGGUUUCUGGAAUGAGCCAUGGCCGAAAUCUAUAUGGCCUCUGGAUUGGACUGCGGCCGAUCAGGCUGUUGGUGAGGUAAUGGCCCACCAAACCUUUUACCGGUACGGGCUCUGAGAGGAGGAGCCCGGAGAUGGGCACUGAGACAAGGGCCCAGGCCCUAUGGGGCGCAGCAGGCGCGAAACCUCUGCAAUAGGCGAAAGCCUGACAGGGUUACUCUGAGUGAUUCCCGCUAAGGGAAUCUUUUGGCAUCUCUAAAAAUGGUGCAGAAUAAGGGGUGGGCAAGUCUGGUGUCAGCCGCCGCGGUAAUACCAGCACCCCGAGUGGUCGGGACGAUUAUUGGGCCUAAAGCAUCCGUAGCCGGUCCUGCAAGUCUUCCGUUAAAUCCAGCUGCUUAACAGAUGGGCUGCGGAGGAUACUACAAGGCUAGGAGGCGGGAGAGGCAAGCGGUACUCAGUGGGUAGGGGUAAAAUCCUCUGAUCCAUUGAAGACCACCAGUGGCGAAGGCGGCUUGCCAGAACGCGCUCGACGGUGAGGGAUGAAAGCUGGGGGAGCAAACCGGAUUAGAUACCCGGGUAGUCCCAGCUGUAAACGAUGCAGACUCGGUGAUGGGUUGGCUUCGAGCCAACCCAGUGCCGCAGGGAAGCCGUUAAGUCUGCCGCCUGGGGAGUACGGUCGCAAGACUGAAACUUAAAGGAAUUGGCGGGGGAGCAC